rnacentral:lncRNA from 1 species
AAAGAAAAUUAAAAAAAAAAAACAAUUUACGUCCCCUUUAUUAGAACUGUGGUGAUAAGUUGUAUUAUUGGCGAUUGUACCCCUUCUCCUUAGUUUUUAUAUAGAUGUCAGAUUGAAAGAUAUGAAAUCGUUGCAAUUUCGACGAUUGAAUUUUUCUGAAAAUACAAUUUACAAUAUAAUAUGUCGACGUUUAAACUACAUUAUGACAC